CCAGACUCCUACGGGAGGCAGCAGUGGGGAAUAUUGCACAAUGGGGGAAACCCUGAUGCAGCAACGCCGCGUGAAGGAAGACGGUUUUCGGAUUGUAAACUUCUAUCAAUAGGGAAGAAAGAAAUGACGGUACCUAAAUAAGAAGCCCCGGCUAACUAUGUGCCAGCAGCCGCGGUAAUACGUAGGGGGCAAGCGUUAUCCGGAUUUACUGGGUGUAAAGGGAGCGUAGACGGCAGAGCAAGUCUGAAGUGAAAGCCCGCGGCCCAACUGCGGGACUGCUUUGGAAACUGCCCGGCUAGAGUGCUGGAGAGGUAAGCGGAAUUCCUAGUGUAGCGGUGAAAUGCGUAGAUAUUAGGAGGAACACCAGUGGCGAAGGCGGCUUACUGGACAGUAACUGACGUUGAGGCUCGAAAGCGUGGGGAGCAAACAGGAUUAGAUACCCUGGUAG
rnacentral:rRNA from 1 species